rnacentral:rRNA from 1 species
UACGUAGGGAGCGAGCGUUGUCUGGAUUUAUUGGGUGUAAAGGGUGCGUAGGCGGCCAUGCAAGUCAGGCGUGUAAUCCGGGGGCUUAACCCCCGAACUGCGUUUGAAACUGUUUGGCUUGAGUGAAGUAGAGGCAGAUGGAAUUUCCAGUGUAGCGGUGAAAUGCGUAGAUAUUGGAAGGAACACCAGUGGCGAAGGCGAUCUGCUGGGCUCUAACUGACGCUGAGGCACGAAAGCAUGGGGAGCAAAC